UUAAGUUCAGCGGGUAUCCCUACCUGAUCCGAGGUCAACCAUAGAAAGUUGGGGGUUGCUGGCCAGCAUCCACCGGGACCCUAUAGCGAGAGAAAUUACUACGCUUAGAGCCAGAUGGCGCCGCCACUGAUUUUAAGGGCUGCCAGUUGGCAGGCCCCAACACCAAGCUGAGCUUGAGGGGUUAUAAUGACGCUCGAACA
rnacentral:misc_RNA from 1 species